rnacentral:rRNA from 1 species
GAUGAACGCUAGCGACAGGCUUAACACAUGCGAGUCGAGGGGCAGCAUAAAAGUAGCAAUACUUUGGUGGCGACCGGCGCACGGGUGAGUAACGCGUAUGCAACCUACCUAUCAGAGGGGAAUAACCCGGCGAAAGUCGGACUAAUACCGCAUAAAACAGGGGCACCGCAUGGUGAUAUUUGUUAAAGAAAUUCGCUGAUAGAUGGGCAUGCGUUCCAUUAGGUAGUUGGUGAGGUAACGGCUCACCAAGCCGACGAUGGAUAGGGGAACUGAGAGGUUGGUCCCCCACACUGGUACUGAGACGCGGACCAGACUCCUACGGGAGGCAGCAGUGAGGAAUAUUGGUCAAUGGGCGAGAGCCUGAACCAGCCAAGUCGCGUGAAGGAAGAAGGAUCUAUGGUUCGUAAACUUCUUUUGCAGGGGAAUAAAGUGCAGGACGUGUCCUGUUUUGUAUGUACCCUGAGAAUAAGGAUCGGCUAACUACGUGCCAGCCGCCGCCGUAACAC